rnacentral:rRNA from 1 species
GCACAACGCGAAGAACCUUACCCACCUUUGACAUGUACGGAAUCCUUUAGAGAUAGAGGAGUGCUCGAAAGAGAGCCGUAACACAGGUGCUGCAUGGCUGUCGUCAGCUCGUGUCGUGAGAUGUUGGGUUAAGUCCCGCAACGAGCGCAACCCUUGCCAUUAGUUGCUACAUUUAGUUGAGCACUCUAAUGGGACUGCCGGUGACAAACCGGAGGAAGGUGGGGAUGACGUCAAGUCCUCAUGGCCCUUAUAGGUGGGGCUACACACGUCAUACAAUGGCUGGUACAAAGGGUUGCCAACCCGCGAGGGGGAGCUAAUCCCAUAAAGCCAGUCGUAGUCCGGAUCGCAGUCUGCAACUCGACUGCGUGAAGUCGGAAUCGCUAGUAAUCGCGAAUCAGAAUGUCGCGGUGAAUACGUUCCCGGGUCUUGUACACACCG